UACAGGGGGUGCUAGCGUUGUUCGGAAUAUCUGGGCGUAAAGGGCGCGUAGGCGGUUUAGUAAGUCAGAUGUGAAAUCCCGGGGCUUAACUCCGGAAAGUGCAUUUGAAACUACUAGGCUAGAGUACAGUAGAGGUUAUUGGAAUUCCCAGUGUAGAGGUGAAAUUCGUAGAUAUUGGGAGGAACACCGGUGGCGAAGGCGGAUCUCUGGGCCGAUACUGACGCUGAGGAGCGAAAGCGUGGGGAGCGAACAGG
rnacentral:rRNA from 1 species